UCACAAUUUAACAUCGCACAGGCCUUUAGAAUAGAGUGACUGGAAAAAAAAAAUGAUGUCAUAAAAUUUCUCGGAGUAGUUUGUUACAGCGUAAAAUAUGUCACUUCCUGUUGCCAGCAGGUGGCGCUAUGACUAUAACUGAAUAUGGGCAUGUCAAUCUGUUCAGGUCAGGAGUCUUAUCAAACAUGUGAAGUUUGGGGCAGAUUGGACAUUGUAUGUCUGAGUUAUAACAACUUCCUUUCUCAUGGCGAAACAUCGAUAUUUAUAAGGCCGCCAGAGACACGCCCUUCAACUAAACCUCAAGAUCUUCGCAAUUUAACAUCGCAAAGGCCUUUAGAUUACACUGACAAAGUUUGGUGUUGAUCUGAAUAAAUCUCUAGGAGGAGUUCGUUAAAGUACAACCCCUGAAAAUGUCAAAAACGACACAAAUUUUGCAGAGAAAAUUCAAAAUAACUGACUUCCUGUUGGGAUUCG
ensembl:lncRNA